rnacentral:rRNA from 1 species
UUUGCCUACGGGACGCAGCAGUAGGGAAUUUUCGUCAAUGGGCGCAAGCCUGAACGAGCGAUGCCGCGUGAAGGAAGAAGGCUUUCGGGUUGUAAACUUCUUUUAAGAGGGAAGAGUAGAAGACGGUACCUCUUGAAUAAGCCACGGCUAACUACGUGCCAGCAGCCGCGGUAAUACGUAGGUGGCAAGCGUUGUCCGGAUUUACUGGGUGUAAAGGGCGUGUAGCCGGGCCGGCAAGUCAGAUGUGAAAUCCCAAGGCUCAACCUUGGAACUGCAUUUGAAACUGUUGGUCUUGAGUAUCGGAG